AGUGAACGCUGGCGGUAGGCCUAACACAUGCAAGUCGAACGGCAGCACAGAGGAGCUUGCUCCUUGAGUGGCGAGUGGCGGACGGGUGAGGAAUACAUCGGAAUCUACUUUUUCGUGGGGGAUAACGUAGGGAAACUUACGCUAAUACCGCAUACGACCUACGGGUGAAAGCAGGGGAUCUUCGGACCUUACGCGAUUGAAUGAGCCGAUGUCGGAUUAGCUAGUUGGCGGGGUAAAGGCCCACCAAGGCGACGAUCCGUAGCUGGUCUGAGAGGAUGAUCAGGCACACUGGAACUGAGACACGGUCCAGACUCCUACGGGAGGCAGCAGUGGGGAAUAUUGGACAAUGGGCGCAAGCCUGAUCCAGCCAUACCGCGUGGGUGAAGAAGGCCUUCGGGUUGUAAAGCCCUUUUGUUGGGAAAGAAAUCCAGCCGGCUAAUACCUGGUUGGGAUGGCGGUACCCAAAGAAUAAGCACCGGCUAACUUCGUGCCAGCCGCCGCCGUAACAC
rnacentral:rRNA from 1 species